GGUGCUGUGAUGCAGUGGGUUAACAUCCUGGCCUGAAGUGCCAGCAUCCCAUAUGGGUGCCGGUUCAAGUCUCGCCUGCUCCU
rnacentral:tRNA from 1 species